rnacentral:rRNA from 1 species
UGGGGGAUAUUGCACAAUGGGCGAAAGCCUGAUGCAGCGACGCCGCGUGGGGGAUGAAGGCCUUCGGGUUGUAAACUUCUUUUGCUCUGAACAAGGCAUGCUAAUGGGUGUGUUGAGUGUAGGGGUUGAUUAGCGCCGGCUAACUACGUGCCAGCAGCCGCGGUAAUACGUAGGGCGCGAGGGUUGUCCGGAAUUAUUGGGCGUAAAGGGCUUGUAGGUGGCUGGUUGCGUCUGUCGUGAAAGCUCAUGGCUUAACUGUAGGGUUGCGGUGGGUACGGGCUGGCUUGGGUGCAGUAGGGGAGGCUGGAAUUCCUGGAGUAGCGGUGGGAUGCGCAGAUAUCAGGAGGAAUACCGGUGGCGAAGGCGGGUCUCUGGGCUGUUACUGACACUGAAGAGCGAAAGCAUGGGGAGCGAACAGG